rnacentral:lncRNA from 1 species
GGCUGCCCCACGGGCCUCUCCCCUGGCCCAUGGUGUCCAGGCCAGCCUGGGUCACGGCACGGAGCCCAGCAGCCCUGGUGGGGACGUGCCACCCCAGGCAGUGUCCCCGACCCUCUGCUCAGACCUGAAGCACCGAGGCCCAAGCGCCAGUCCAUCCCUGUCCCAGAGUCUCCUGCUGCCCCCAGGCCACCUCCAACAGCAGCUCGAGGGCUCCCUCACAGGAUAAAAGAUGGCUGGGGACGGCCUCCGAGAGGCCAAGAGAGGCAGAGGUGAGGGCGCACUGCCCAGCCUGAGAGCCUGGGGCCGUCGCAUUCUGGGUCCCUCCCAGCCCUCCCCGGGGCGCAGCCCUGCGCUUCGGCCUUGCCAGUGACCUUGGUAAUGGCUGGGGGGGUCCCCCUGCAGAUGAGUCACCCUUGGCUUACCCAGCCCCCCCGCCCGCGCUUGUCCUGUGGGUCCGUGUCCCCAGCGAACAGAUCCGCAGGGCGGAAGAGUUAGUCCAAGAUACGCGCCUGUGUCAUCUGGGGACAUGGUCCCCAACGGGCCAGUCGACACUCCCAGCCGCUAGGAGGGCACCACUUCCCCACAGCCGCACAGUCAGCAGGUUCCCAAAAAUCACGGGUCCUGUGGUUGAGGCCACAGGGAGAAAUGGCCCCCCUGCUUGUGCUUGUUGCCCAGUACCAGUGAAACUGCCCACGGUCCGUGUCUUGCUGGCCUGGGCCUUGUCUUCAUCUAUUUUCUCUUUGGCACAGUAUGGCCGGCCUUUUUCUCAUUGGUUUGUAGGAGCUCUUUGUAUAUUAAGGAAAUUAGACUUUACCUACAGCCUGUGUUGUACAUCCAGUGUCCUCAUUCGCCGUUUAUUUGUUUACACACUUACUGACUUUGCACCUGGCAGUUGGUCUCAGGAGGGCCAGGGGCGUUUUGGCUGCUCAGACACUGUGUCCCUUCGCCCAGGUUUCCGUCCCCCACGCACACUGCCUCUAGGAGCCCACCCCAGCCAGAUCCUGGGGGAAAGCGACCUCGGGUCAGCCGCCGGUUGGCGCUGGUGUGGUCUCCGGAGCCCAGAGCC